AGCAAGAGGAGGCGUUUGCUCGCACCUUGGCCCUACAGCAGCAGCUGGAGGAGGAGAGGCAGAGAGUGGCCCGCAUGAAGCAGCAGCAGGCCGAGCAGGAGCAGUUCCAUGCCUUUGAAGACAUGAUCAGGCGCCAGGAGCUUGAGAAGGAGCGCCUGAGAGUGGUGCAGCAAUUUGGGACAGCAACUCUAGGCACCUCGGAGGGUCCCUUAAUACCUGGCGUGCUUAAGCCCCCCACCGACCCCCAAACUCUUAUGUCUGCUGGUCAACCUUUGAGCCCCGCUGGAGGAAGUGGACUGCCAGGGCCACCCAUAGUGGACAGAUCGCUAAAACCUGGCACUUUGGGGAACUCCGAAAACAGCGCAGUUAUAGAUGGUCUUCGCCACAUUGUUGUCUCCAGCGAUCUGUGCCAUAAAUUUCUGCAGUUGGCAGAUGCAAAUACAGCCAGAGGUGUGGAGACGUGUGGGAUCCUUUGUGGGAAGCUGAUGAGGAAUGAAUUCACAAUAACCCACGUCAUUGUUCCUAAGCAGCACGGAGGCCCCGACUACUGCAACACCGAGAGUGAGGAGGAGCUCUUCCUCAUCCAGGACCAGAACAGCCUGAUCACCUUGGGAUGGAUCCACACUCAUCCUACUCAAACGGCUUUCCUUUCCAGUGUGGAUUUGCACACUCAUUGCUCCUAUCAAAUGAUGCUGGCAGAGUCUAUAGCUAUCGUUUGUUCACCGAAGUAUCAAGAGACUGGAUUCUUUAAACUGACAGACCAUGGGAUGGAGGAGAUCUCUUCCUGCAGACAAAAAGGAUUCCAUCCCCACUGCAAGGAUCCUCCUCUCUUUACUGUAAGUAGCUGAGAGAAGCUGGGCCCUUCCAAUUGCAGCUGCUUCUCAAGGCUCCAUCUGGAAGUCCAGGGAGAAGGUCUUUCCACAGACGUGACUCGGAAGGCGGGGCGAAUCCAUCCUGCCUUAACAGUUGCCCUUCUUCUGGUGUUUGGGAGGAGGUGUUUCUCCCCUUAGUUGUAGGAUUUGGUUCUUUUUACUAUACUUCAUUCAGUGUUGUUGUGGAGUUGGACAGCCUGACACAUUUUCAAAAUAAAUAAAGCCGUGGGAUAUUAAUGGCAAAAUGCUCUCAGCUCGUUCCUGUCAGAAAACAACCUUUUUCCAUCUCUUCUAGCCUCCUCUCUAAAUUUUCUACCUCCAAAGCUUCCUAAAAAUGUGUCCAACGGCCGUAGAUUUGACUCCAAAUCAAAGUGCUUUUAGGAAGUGCCCCCCCCCCUCAAUAGCAAUAAGAAACUAGCUCUGAUAUGUCAGUAAAUAAACAUCUCAGAUUAUUUUAUCUGGAGCUAAACUGGGCCAACCGUACAUACAUUUCAACAGCUGGUCAACCACCAGGCAUCCUCUUCCCCCUGACUUUGAUAUUUUCUUUGUUUCAUGUUUGAUUUUCUGUCUGCUUCUCUGAGUAUGAAGGAGUAAAUCUCAGAGUAAGUUGCAUAUGCCUGAACUUGGCAGCCAGUGAGGAGGACAAACAGUCACCCACUCUCUUGGACUUGCAACCAUGUGACGGUCACGGAAGCAGAAGUGACGGUGCUGGACCUUCGAUGAAGCUACCUUUGUAUCUCUUAUCAGCUCUUCCUGUCCUCCUCAAAGCUAAUUUUCGGUUGCUUCUCUCACUUUCUGUGCAGUGAUCCCCAGAAUCAUACCUGUAACACAGCAAAGGAAUUUUUUCCUUCUCUUUGAUCACAUAUGAAUAAUAAUUUGGGGCAUCGCUGAGAAUCACUAAAGCAAAAUUAUAAACUAAAAUUAACCCUAAUGCCCUCAAUAACGGCUCAUCUUGGCUGCCGACUGAGGUUUCCCAACAAACCAGAAGACACACACAGAGGCACAGACAAAGAGGAACAAUUCUUGGAAGUCUGUGGCUUGACUCUGGGAACAUCCAUCCUUCUUAUAUUAAGAUUGACUCUCGCACAUUCUUGGGAAACAUCCAUCCUAUCAGUGGGUUGGAAUUCUUACGCUCAACUGUGCUGUGCCAAAAUUUUGACUUCAGUGAGCAGUAAUAAAGCAAGUUUUGUGCUGAAGGAAGUGCCCACCAAGAAAAUCAGGCUAUUGUCUAUUGGUUUUAGAUGGCUCUUCCCUAGAUCAGUGGUCCCCAACCUUUCCAGUUUUGUGGAUGUGUGGGGGGGAAUGGUUCCAUGUGAGCAGUAUGGCUCGCUUGCCACAGCCUGGGGGUUAGUGCCCUGGAUAAUGGCGCCUUGUUCCAAGGGAAGAGUUCAUGUGUUUAAGAAGAGAGAAUCAAAGAAGUUUCUAGAAAUAACUAACUAGGGGUUUUUUUGUUACCAAUAUCUCCCUUUUUAGGAAUUUGCAUUUUACCAAAAUGUUUCAAUCUAAAUUUAAUUUUUCUACAGCGGGGCUUUUAAAGCCUUUGAAGGACUAAACUAAACUAUCCUGUGUAGCCCAAGUGCAGAAAAGGAUGAGAUAUCAAAAUGCUCUCUUAAGAAAUCAUCUUCAUUGUAUUUAAUUGGCUUUUAGGUGCCUUUUCCGUGCUAUAAAUCGAAAGAGAAUAGAUGAGAUCAAUUAAGAGGAAAUCUCCCAAUUUAGCCACCUGGCCAUGUCCUCAAGUUACUCUAAAUGUGCUGCUCUAGGAAUUAUAUCUAACCAUCAAGAAUGAUGAUGAUGUGCUAGUGUUUGUCACCAACUAUAUCAACCAACACAGUUUAAAUUUGGGCCUGAGCGAUUGAGCCCAAUUCCUGCUGUGGACUUGGAGAUGCUCAGCUGCAGAGCAGCCUAGUGGAAGAUGCAAAGCAUGUGUUGAAGCCCAAUAAAUUCCCCUCGUGUUGCAGCUGCUGUGAUCUCCUACCCCAAAGGGGAAAGAGCACCCAAAACAUGCACCUGACCUCCAUAAUUGUUUCUUAAUAGCAGCUGAUCCUCAGUGAGGCCCUUCCUAAUUCCUGAUUUUCUCCAGUGGCUUCAUUCAUUCAUAAUUAGGUAUAAAUAUUUCUGCAGAGAGAGGCAUGAAAACGCAUAGCAUUUCUGGACAAAUGCCUUCGUUGCAAAACAGGCCAAUUGUGGCUCGAUGGACUCCACUAAUUUUGCAGAUUUGCUUGUAUAUCCUUGUUUACAGGCGUAAGAGCGGGUUUUGGUGCCCUGGACAGAACUUUGCUGUUGGGGAUUGAGCUUCCUACUCCCACUGCCCGCUCCCUCUUAAGGCUCAUUCCAUCCACCUCCAUCCUAAC